GGGGUUGUGGCUCAGUGGUAGAGCGCUUGCCUUGCACAUGUGAGGCACUGGGUUCAAGUCUCAGCAACACAU
rfam:Ictidomys tridecemlineatus contig127764, whole genome shotgun sequence.